rnacentral:lncRNA from 1 species
AAAUCAUCAAGAAUGUAAGUCCUUGACCAAGCACUAAAUAGUAGCGGAAAUGCUUAAAAAGAAUUAUAGUUAGCAAUGAUGAGCUUGGGAGCAGUAGUAGCGAUGGCAGUAAUAGGGUUGUGGGCAUUGUUUUUGAGGCCAAUGAUGAUAAGGUAUGCAGCGGAGAUGAUUGAAGCAAUGGGGUACGCGGUUCAUCGGAUUCUGAGAGAAAUACCUUCGAUCAAUUCCUCUACUUCUCUUCCUCACUCCACCUCUUCCUUCCUCUACUGAUACUAGUAACAAAGGUUCAUUUCCCGUCUCAGGUUUUGCUUCAGGUUCAUGUAGAACAUGAACAAAGGGCAACCCUUUUUGCUGUUUUAUUUCCUUUGGCAAGAAGUUACAUGUAAUGACUAACAAUUUUGUACUACUACUACAAAGAUUUGAUUAGAGUGUAAAAGAGACUUGACAGCUCAAGCUACCAAGUUUUCCCAUGUUAGUACUGUUGUUAAGCAUCUGAUAAGCGUUGUUAACUUGGUACACACGCCAUAGUUGACUCAAGUUUAGCCUUUUUCUUCCUUUCCCGAAAGCCCAAGUUUCUUUAUUUUCUUUAAUAACUCGUGUAUUACUUCUCUUAAGGCGGCUGGGGAUGGAAAGGGCCAAGAGGCUGAGAGUCCUGACAUUGCAAAAGGCACCAAUUGCACGUUUUAUAACUUUGAAGGAGCUGGUCAACAUGAUGGGUUUUUCUUCCUUUAACUAUUUAAACUGAGUAUAUAUUUAUUACAUUUGGACCCUAUUGUCAGUUCAUAUUAUUAGUUUAUAAUAACAGACACAAUGCAUAGUAUAACUUUUUCUUGUAAAUGCGUGAGAUCCAAGCAGAUAUGUUCUUGACUUAAUAACUUAAGUUGCAAUUUGUAUUCGAGA